ensembl:snoRNA small nucleolar RNA, H/ACA box 53
AACAUGCUUCCUUAGAUCCACCUUUGUGGAUGCCAACUCUUGUUCUGAGUUCUGCUUGCUAACGUUUGUUUCCUGUAGUUCCAGUCAAGAGGCAUCCAGCAACUUUACCGGUUGUACUGUCAAAGGUGCUUGAGUCAUUGGCAUGUGAGAUCAAUAUACCUGCAUAUUAGUCAUACGUUCUGAUAGAAAUGGCAGCCUGUCAUUUUUUAACUAUCAGGACUUGACUGGUAUGCGGACAGA